rnacentral:rRNA from 1 species
UACGUAGGGUGCGAGCGUUGUCCGGAAUUAUUGGGCGUAAAGGGCUCGUAGGCGGUUUGUCACGUCGGGAGUGAAAACUCGGGGCUUAACCCCGAGCCUGCUUCCGAUACGGGCAGACUAGAGGUAUGCAGGGGAGAACGGAAUUCCUGGUGUAGCGGUGAAAUGCGCAGAUAUCAGGAGGAACACCGGUGGCGAAGGCGGUUCUCUGGGCAUUACCUGACGCUGAGGAGCGAAAAUGUGGGGAGCGAACAGG